rnacentral:rRNA from 1 species
AGCAGCAGCCGCGGUAAUACGAAGGGGGCUAGCGUUGUUCGGAUUUACUGGGCGUAAAGGGCGCGUAGGCGGGCGAAUAAGUCAGGGGUGAAAUCCCAAGGCUCAACCUUGGAACUGCCUUUGAUACUGUUUGUCUUGAGUCCGGGAGAGGUGAGUGGAACUGCGAGUGUAGAGGUGAAACUCGUAGAUAUUCGCAAGAACACCAGUGGCGAAGGCGGCUCACUGGCCCGGAACUGACGCUGAGGCGCGAAAGCGUGGGGAGCAAACAGGAUUAGAUACCCGGGUAGUCCCUGUCUCUUAUAA